UACGUAGGGGGCAAGCGUUAUCCGGAUUUAUUGGGUGUAAAGGGUGCGUAGGCGGGAAAGCAAGUUGAAUGUGAAAUACCGGGGCUCAACUCCGGGGCUGCGUUCAAAACUGUUUUUCUUGAGUACAGCAGAGGCAAGCGGAAUUCCCAGUGUAGCGGUAAUAUGCGUAGAUAUUGGGAGGAACACCGGUGGCGAAGGCGGCUUGCUGGGCUGCAACUGACGCUGAAGCACGAAAGUGUGGGGAGCAAACAGGAUUAGAUACCCUGGUAGUCCACACUGUAAACGAUGAUUACUAGGUGUGGGGAGAUUGACCCUCUCCGUGCCGCAGUUAACACAAUAAGUAAUCCACCUGAGUAGUACGGCCGCAAGGUUGAA
rnacentral:rRNA from 1 species